AGUUUAAAGAUCUACUGUUCGUUUUUAUUUGAUUCAAGUCCAGUCAAUUUAAUACACGUUUCGUAAAGAUCCUUGUCCAGUCAAAGUGUUCCUUGUCCAGUCAAUGUGAUUCUUGUCCAGGCAAAGUGAUCCUUGUCCAGUCAAUGUGAUCCUUGUCCAGUCAAUGUGAUCCUUGUCCAGUCAACGUGAUCCUUGUCCAGUCAAUGUGAUCCUUGUCUAGUCAAUGUGAUACUUGUCCAUGCAGUCAAUGUGAUCCUUGUCCAGUCAAUGUGAUCCUUUGUCCAUGCAGUCAAUGUGAUCCUUGCCCAUGCAGUCAAUGUGAUCCUUGUCCAGUCAAGUUAUUAUAGAUCUGGGAAAGUGCAAUAGAUGAUUUGGUGUUUGAUGGAAAAAGUCACACCCUGCUUGUAGAAUACAUUUGUACCUCAUUCAAUAGAUGUUCUGGUGUUUGAUGGAAAAAGUCAAACCCUGCUUGUAGAAUACAUUUGUACCUCAUUCAAUAGAUGUUCUGGUGUUUGAUGGAAAGAGUCACACCCUGCUUGUAGAAUACAUUUGUACCUCAUUUAGUCACACCCUGUUUGUAGAAUACAUUGGUACCUCAUUCAGGCUAUAAUGGAAAGUUGGAAUAAGAAACUUACUACAGCUGCUUGGAAGGGAGAUAUAGAAGCCUUAAAAUUAAGCCUACAGAAUGGUGCAGACAUUGAUUAUCAAGGUG